GACGAACGCUGGCGGCGUGCUUAACACAUGCAAGUCGAGCGGAAAGGCCCUUCGGGGUACUCGAGCGGCGAACGGGUGAGUAACACGUGAGUAAUCUGCCCUUGGCUUUGGGAUAACUACCGGAAACGGUGGCUAAUACCGGAUACGACAACCGUCUGCAUGGGCUGGUUGUGGAAAGUUUUUUCGGCCAGGGAUGUGCUCGCGGCCUAUCAGCUUGUUGGUGGGGUAAUGGCCUACCAAGGCUUCGACGGGUAGCCGGCCUGAGAGGGUGACCGGCCACACUGGGACUGAGACACGGCCCAGACUCCUACGGGAGGCAGCAGUGGGGAAUAUUGGACAAUGGGCGGAAGCCUGAUCCAGCAACGCCGCGUGAGGGAUGACGGCCGUCGGGUUGUAAACCUCUUUCAGUACCGACGAAGCGCCGAUGAUGGUGGUGACGGUAGGUACAGAAGAAGCACCGGCCAACUACGUG
rnacentral:rRNA from 1 species